GCUCAGAAACACAGAAACUGAAACACGGAACUGAAUCUCUUCCAUCCUGUCUCCUCCCUGCCCCAGAAACACUCACUGUUUCCAAUGGAUUCUUCAUCUCGGGGCAAGAUACCUCUGUCUUCCCGGUCAGUGAAGCUGGAAAUUUCGGACCGCUCCAGCUGCUUACCAAAACUGAGAACUGGUUGCACACUGCUCAACUGAAUACUCUUACAAACAUGCUGUUGGGAGACUCACCCUGGGUGAUCAUCAGGAGACCAUGACAAUGUGCACAAUUGAUGGACAUGUGAGAGACGUGGCAGCCGAGCUUGGAGCAGAGAAGGCAUCUCUCCAGGGGACUGUGGUCUGGGGCACUCCCUGUCUCAUGCAGAAGAAUGGAGAGAAGAUGGGGAAAAAGCUUUAAUAA